ACGGCGACAUCACAUUGAAACAUCGGUUCCCGUACUGACACCGAAGUUAGGCAAUGUCGAGCCUGGUCAGUAUCGAGAUGGGUGACCGCUUGGGAAUAUUAGGUAUUGUAA